GCCUGCCUCUACUUCUCUACUCUCUCCCUCUCUCUGCCUUUUUCUGCCUCUACUACUCUCCUAGCUCCCCUUGCCACCAUGACGAUAAAGGCCUUAAAACCAGGGAUUCUCUUCCGGUGCUGAUGCUGGGGAGACAAACCUUCCCAGGGUAGAGAUGACCUUGUCAGGGAUUUGAGGAAGAACAUUAAUGAAUCCAUCAAACAUGGACUGUAUGGGAGGAAACUCACUGGGCAGAACAACAGAAUCCUCAUUUUACAGGAAAACAAAGGCAUACACAGAAGGAGACAGACUUAGUUGGGACCAGUAGAGAACAUGACCACAGUAGGCAUGCUACAGACUGGUUCCCAUGAUCCUGCUGAGGAGACAGAGAGCCUGCUGUCUUUCUAACUGGCCCUGCUUUGUGAGAAGAGAGUUUCUCUACCAGACAUCCAUCCAGGUUCCCCCUCGCCCCCUUGCUUCUUUGUAGUUUGUAACCCAUGAAGCCAAGGAGAGGGGCCAUGCUUCCUGGACCUAAGCCUUAUUCCUUCCAAUUAAAGAUUGUUUUGUUGACACAUGCUUGCAUAAUCAAAUUGAUAUUUUAAAGAAGAAUAAAGAGCAUAGUCACUAGCA